rnacentral:rRNA from 1 species
CCCUACGGGGGGCAGCAGUAGGGGAUCUUCCGCAAUGGGCGAAAGCCUGAUGGAGCAACGCCGCGUGGGUGAAGAAGGUCUUCGGAUCGUAAAACCCUGUUGUUAGAGAAGAAAGUGCGUGAGAGUAACUGUUCACGUUUCGACGGUAUCUAACCAGAAAGCCACGGCUAACUACGUGCCAGCAGCCGCGGUAAUACGUAGGUGGCAAGCGUUAUCCGGAUUUAUUGGGAGUAAAGGGAACGCAGGCGGUCUUUUAAGUUUGAUGUGAAAGACUUCGGAUUAACCGGAGUAGUGCAUUGGGAACU